UACGGAGGGGGCUAGCGUUGUUCGGAAUUACUGGGCGUAAAGGGCGCGUAGGCGGCGACUCAAGUUAGAUGUGAAAGUCCUGGGCUUAACCUGGGGACUGCAUUUGAUACUGGGUUGCUUGAAUUCGGGAGAGGAUAGCGGAAUUCCCAGUGUAGAGGUGAAAUUCGUAGAUAUUGGGAAGAACACCGGUGGCGAAGGCGGCUAUCUGGACCGACAUUGACGCUGAGGCGCGAAAGCGUGGGGAGCAAACAGG
rnacentral:rRNA from 1 species